rnacentral:misc_RNA from 1 species
GAAUCUAGAAGUACCUAGAAGUUUUUGUUUUAAGGCACAAUUAAUUGUUAUUGAUUUAUAAUAAUAUCCAGUACAUUAUGAAGUCAAGGCAGAGCUCAGUCAAUUAACAUAUGGUAUUUUCAUGUUCAAUCGAAUAGGAAUUCAACUGAAUCUCAUCUAAUAUGUCCAUAAUGGCUACUGGAAUUGGGUGACAGAAAGAGUGACCAAACAAAACAAAUACCAUUCAUACUCAUGCGACCUUGCUUAGGCUUGUGAGCAUGGACGGACCCUUGAUAAAGAAAAUGCAGGUUGUCGGAAACCGAAAAAAGUUCAGUGUUGAAG